rnacentral:rRNA from 1 species
GAUGAACGCUGGCGGCGUGCCUAAUACAUGCAAGUCGAGCGAACAGAUGAGGAGCUUGCUCCUCUGACGUUAGCGGCGGACGGGUGAGUAACACGUGGAUAACCUACCUAUAAGACUGGGAUAACUUCGGGAAACCGGAGCUAAUACCGGAUAAUAUAUUGAACCGCAUGGUUCAAUAGUGAAAGACGGUUUUGCUGUCACUUAUAGAUGGAUCCGCGCCGCAUUAGCUAGUUGGUAAGGUAACGGCUUACCAAGGCAACGAUGCGUAGCCGACCUGAGAGGGUGAUCGGCCACACUGGAACUGAGACACGGUCAGACUCCUACGGGAGGCAGCAGUAGGGAAUCUUCCGCAAUGGGCGAAAGCCUGACGGAGCAACGCCGCGUGAGUGAUGAAGGUCUUCGGAUCGUAAAACUCUGUUAUUAGGGAAGAACAAAUGUGUAAGUAACUAUGCACGUCUUGACGGUACCUAAUCAGAAAGCCACGGCUAACUACGU